UGAAGCAGGAUCAAAACCUGUAAGAGGGAGAGCAGAGGGAGGAUAGAAUGAAAGUAAAUUAGGUUGGUGAGGAAGAGAAGACAGACAAAGAGAGAGGGAGAGAGGGAGAGACAGAGGGAGAGAGAAAGAGGAAAGGGAGAGAAAGAGAGGGGAAGGGGAGAGAAAGAGAGAAUGGGCCUUUCUCACAGAGACUACAGACCUUCAGCAUCUUGGCUGCCUUAAAGGAGCAAAGAAACUUAAUUUCUGAGCAUUCCUUUGUGCUCAUCAUUUCCGAGCGGUGCUUUCCUUUCCUUUCCUUCCCAGUUGACAUGUGGCAAAAAUGAGGUUGAAUGAGGAUAAGCAGUUUACUCAGGAGCACCUGAAUGCAAAGCUCAGCACUUCCGCCCAGAGUAAGCCUGACAGGUUAGAGUGACGAAACCUGCUGAAACCUCCAAAGCUGAGGCUCCCCAGUGAACGAGUUUUCCUAGAACACAGGACAAUCGUGGCCACUGUGAAGAGUACAGAUUAUGUGUUGGACAUUAAAUAUCCGUUUUUGUGAUUUUCACAGAAAUCCUGCCUGGGAGAGAAGAUUCGAGUGAGGAGGGAGACUUGUGAGACCGAAAAGCCAGAACUCAAGAAAAGCAGACAGCCUGGCCAGCAGCCCUGAGGUACAGAGUCAGCUCAACCACACUCAGUACUGUAAAGGAGAUCUAUUUAUUCUGUAAUUAGCAAACGAUAAGAAGAAAGCUUUCUUCCGUCUUGGCAUGCAGUCUGGAAUGUCCAGUUACAACACUGGUAUGCUGUCAAAAGAUUUUACAUCCUGAACCUCUCUCUGUUGUGUCACUGGUAUGUUGGCCCUGAGAUAGUCCGGAGUGGAGCAAAAGCCAGUAUCAUGUUGAUAACAACUGAAUCCUUGCAUUUAUAUAAUGUGACAUGUCUUGACCAGCAUUGUUUAGGUCUUGGCAUAUCCGCGAAUGCCUAGGGCAGAACACCAAAGGAAACGCUGACUCUGAAAGUUUGCUCAGAAUACGUGUGAGGGAAUUCACUGGUUAAAGCAAAUACAUGUCCAAACAAGUACUGGUUUGCUCAGGGAGUACACGGACCUGGCAAGCCUCCUUCGGCAUGGAGAGCGCUGGCCAUCCAGACAGCGCCUCCCAAAGAGCUCUAGGCUUUUGGAGGGAUUAACCAUAGCUGCGGGGUGUUUAGAAGAACAUUAUCCAGUCCUUCAGGCUUAAAGGAGGCGAUGGUGACCCAGAACUCAGGAGAAGAGAGUCCCCAAGGGAGAAAUGCUGGCGGGAAGGACCUCAUUUAUGUGUGCUCAUAUAUCAAACAGGACUUGGAAUUUGAAAGAGAAAUAAAAAAUCCUCUAUGUUAAGAUAAAGAACUUCUGAAGCGUUAAAGCGUAAUAAAAAAUGAAAUUAAUGUGAAGUCAACUUGCCGGGCAAAAACUCUUAUCAGGAGAAUGAGCAGUGAAAUUCCCAGGAAAGAGCCACAGCCGAAAGCAGUCCAUGGCUUGCCAAAAAAGGAGAAUGGACACCAACACACAUACUGCAGCAAUCGCUGCCUGGGGGCUACUGUACAUACUAACACUGUGGACCAGGAUAGCGAUUCAGCGCAUCCAACUUUGAAGGUAAGAAGAAAGGAAAGUCAUCUUCUUAGAUUCCUCAAAGAUACAAGUACCCUUGUUAUCGACACUCGGUGGAUAGAUAUAAGGGCCCAGGAGCUUCUUAGAUCAAUCUGGGACAGAAUAUAUAUUUACCAUCUAACUCUGGGGACAUUCUCAAGAGUAUAAAGAUGUCAGAGCUAAAAAUGGACUCAUCAGCAGGUCUAAAUUUCACUUAGUAUUUCCUGAACAGCCAUGAAAGAAUCUUCGUCUUGCUCUUGCUCUUGCUGUAUGGAUUCUAUAUUCAGGAAAAAGGUAGGAAAUUGAAUGCUGUGAUUUUCAAAUUCUAGUAAGUACUUAGCAAAAUGGAAGCAGGUGUCAGGUUAGUGCUGAUAGGUAAAAGACAUGCUGAGGAUAUUAAGGAGAACAUCUUUGAAACAACUUAUUGUUUAUAUUCAUAGAGAAAAGGAGAGAUGUGGUUUUUAAGAAAUAUUAAGAUGGCGGACAUCCUUCACUUUGACAUUCUUCACUUUAACAUUCUCUAGGUAACCGUGCUGAAUGUCAGUUCAUUAGUAAUUAGAGUGUGGCAUUCCA